GAGAUCGUAGCUCAGUUGGCAGAGCCCCAGGUUGUGGUCCCGGUGGUCAUCGGUUCGAAUCCGAUCGGUCUCCCC
rnacentral:tRNA from 1 species